UACGAAGGGGGCAAGCGUUGUUUGGAAUUACUGGGCGUAAAGCGCACGUAGGCGGAUUGUUAAGUCAGGGGUGAAAACUCUGGAGCUCAACUCCAGAACUGCCUUUGAUACUGGCGAUCUCGAGUCCGGGAGAGGUGAGUGGAACUGCGAGUGUAGAGGUGAAAUUCGUAGAUAUUCGCAAGAACACCAGUGGCGAAAGGCGGCUCACUGGCCCGGUACUGACGCUGAGGCGCGAAAGCCAGG
rnacentral:rRNA from 1 species